GAUGAACGCUGGCGGCGUGCUUAACACAUGCAAGUCGAACGAAGCGAUACGAAGGAAGUUUUCGGAUGGAAUUUGUAUUGACUGAGUGGCGGACGGGUGAGUAACGCGUGGGUAACCUGCCUCAUACAGGGGGAUAACAGUUAGAAAUGACUGCUAAUACCGCAUAAGCGCACAGGGAUGCAUGUCCCGGUGUGAAAAACUCCGGUGGUAUGAGAUGGACCCGCGUCUGAUUAGCUAGUUGGAGGGGUAACGGCCCACCAAGGCGACGAUCAGUAGCCGACCUGAGAGGGUGACCGGCCACAUUGGGACUGAGACACGGCCCAA
rnacentral:rRNA from 1 species